GAUGAACGCUGGCGGCGUGCCUAAUACAUGCAAGUCGAGCGAACAGACGAGGAGCUUGCUCCUCUGACGUUAGCGGCGGACGGGUGAGUAACACGUGGAUAACCUACCUAUAAGACUGGGAUAACUUCGGGAAACCGGAGCUAAUACCGGAUAAUAUAUUGAACCGCAUGGUUCAAUAGUGAAAGAGGUUUUUCUGUUCCCUAUUAGUUGAAUCGCGCCGCAUUAGCUAGUUGGUAAGGUAACGGCUUACCAAGGCAACGAUGCGUAGCCGACCUGAGAGGGUGAUCGGCCACACUGGAACUGAGACACGGUCCAGACUCCUACGGGAGGCAGCAGUAGGGAAUCUUCCGCAAUGGGCGAAAGCUUGACGGAGCAACGCCGCGUGAGUGAUGAAGGUCUUCGGAUCGUAAAACUCUGUUAUUAGGGAAGAACAAAUGUGUAAGUAACUAUGCACGUCUUGACGGUACCUAAUCAGAAAGCCACGGCUAACUACGUG
rnacentral:rRNA from 1 species